AGAGUUCGUUCGUCUCUCCCUGUUCCCCGAUUCCAGCCUGCCGCCGCCUACCUCGCCGCGUGCGCCGCCGCUGGUAACGCCCUCCUGGAGCGCCGGGGCUGCCGCCUUCCCUGCGCGUGCCGCCGCUUUCCGCCGCCACCACAGUCCUCGCCUUUCCCUGCCAAAUCAAAAAUACAAAUCUUCUCUUACACUCACAGCAGAAAUUGGGAACAGAGUUACCUUAGCAGAAGAAAAAUUCAGUCGUAGCUGUAAUGUGAAUAGAGAUGGAGAGGAGCCAGCGGGAGAGCAUGGCGUGUGGGUACCUGGAGACCCUACUGGUUGAGGCGCUUGACGUGACGCCGCGACGGCGAUGCGGUUCCCUUUGGGUCGUGCAGGCGGACGGAGCCCUUGUAGACGUCGCCGAAUUCGCCCUCAUCGAGCUUCUGUGCGCACCUGAAGUCGUUGGUUGCUGCCCGGAUCUCGUCGUACUGCAACACCCAAAGUUGUUCAUGGCUGCGCUCCUCGUAUAGCUUGCUCCGUUGCGACACAGUGGACGACCCCACCGCUCGUUGUCGACGUGCUCAGCGGCCGCACUGCCCUUGAGUCGUCCGACCGGCUUGUGCUCUUGGUCGAAGCCGUCGUGGCCGGGCCUGACGAGCCCCGCCUUCCGCCCUUGGAAGUCCGCAAGGAAGGGGUGGCACCAGAAGCGGUCUGCGGCGUGCACAAGGAAGGGGCAGGACCAGAGGCGGCGGUAGAGGGAGCUCAGGAGGUGGUCUGCGGCGGCGGCAACCGGUCGUGCGACAGCUCGAGCACAUCGACGGGGAGGGGGUUGAGAUUUUGAGAAAGCUGUCGGCAAUUU
rnacentral:lncRNA from 1 species